rnacentral:pre_miRNA from 4 species
UCUAAUGAAUGGGCAAAGAAAGUGGUUUCUUGAGUUGGAAUCUACUCUGGGUGAAGAUGCUGUGAA